AGUGAACGCUGGCGGUAGGCCUAACACAUGCAAGUCGAACGGCAGCACAGUAAGAGCUUGCUCUUACGGGUGGCGAGUGGCGGACGGGUGAGGAAUACAUCGGAAUCUACUUUUUCGUGGGGGAUAACGUAGGGAAACUUACGCUAAUACCGCAUACGACCUACGGGUGAAAGCAGGGGAUCUUCGGACCUUGCGCGAUUGAAUGAGCCGAUGUCGGAUUAGCUAGUUGGCGGGGUAAAGGCCCACCAAGGCGACGAUCCGUAGCUGGUCUGAGAAGAUGAUCAGCCACACUGGAACUGAGACACGGUCCAGACUCCUACGGGGGGCAGCAGUGGGGAAUAUUGGACAAUGGGCGCAAGCCUGAUCCAGCCAUACCGCGUGGGUGAAGAAGGCCUUCGGGUUGUAAAGCCCUUUUGUUGGGAAAGAAAAGCAGCAGGUUAAUACCCCGCUGUUCUGACGGUACCCAAAGAAUAAGCACCGGCUAACUUCGUG
rnacentral:rRNA from 1 species